rnacentral:rRNA from 1 species
GGCGGCAUGCCUUACACAUGCAAGUCGAACGGCAGCACGGGGGCAACCCUGGUGGCGAGUGGCGAACGGGUGAGUAAUACAUCGGAACGUGUCCUGUAGUGGGGGAUAGCCCGGCGAAAGCCGGAUUAAUACCGCAUACGCUCUACGGAGGAAAGGGGGGGAUCUUAGGACCUCCCGCUACAGGGGCGGCCGAUGGCAGAUUAGCUAGUUGGUGGGGUAAAGGCCUACCAAGGCGACGAUCUGUAGCUGGUCUGAGAGGACGACCAGCCACACUGGGACUGAGACACGGCCCAGACUCCUACGGGAGGCAGCAGUGGGGAAUUUUGGACAAUGGGCGAAAGCCUGAUCCAGCAAUGCCGCGUGUGUGAAGAAGGCCUUCGGGUUGUAAAGCACUUUUGUCCGGAAAGAAAACCUCCGCCCUAAUAUGGUGGGGGGAUGACGGUACCGGAAGAAUAAGCACCGGCUAACUACGUGCCAGCAGCCGCGGUAAUACGUAGGGUGCAAGCGUUAAUC